rnacentral:rRNA from 1 species
AGAACGAACGCUGGCGGCAGGCCUAACACAUGCAAGUCGAACGACAUAGUGGCAGACGGGUGAGUAACGCGUGGGAACGUACCUUUCGCUACGGAAUAGCUCUUGGAAACGAGUGGUAAUACCGUAUACGCCCUCCGGGGGAAAGAUUUAUCGGCGAAAGAUCGGCCCGCGUUAGAUUAGUUUGUUGGUGGGGUAAUGGCCUACCAAGACUACGAUCUAUAGCUGGUCUGAGAGGAUGAUCAGCCACACUGGGACUGAGACACGGCCCAGACUCCUACGGGAGGCAGCAGUGGGGAAUCUUGCACAAUGGGCGAAAGCCUGAUGCAGCCAUGCCGCGUGAAUGAUGAAGGCCUUAGGGUUGUAAAAUUCUUUCGCUAGGGAUGAUAAUGACAGUACCUAGUAAAGAAGCCCCGGCUAACUUCGUGCCAGCAGCCGCGGUAAUACGAAGGGGGCUAGCGUUGUUCGGAAUUACUGGGCGUAAAGCGCACGUAGGCGGACUUUUAAGUCAGAUGUGAAAUCCCGGGGCUCAACCUCGGAACUGCAUUUGAAACUGGAAGUCUGGAGUUCAGGAGAGGUUAGCGGAAUACCGAGUGUAGAGGUGAAAUUCGUAGAUAUUCGGUGGAACACCAGUGGCGAAGGCGGCUAACUGGACUGAUACUGACGCUGAGGUGCGAAAGUGUGGGGAGCAAACAGGAUUAGAUACCCUGGUAGUCCACACCGUAAACGAUGACAGCUAGUUGUUGGCAGGCAUGCCUGUCGGUGACGCAGCUAACGCAUUAAGC